AUCCUUUUGUGUGUUCAUAAGGGUGAUGAUUGGCAUUUUACACCACUAUGUAAGAUCACCUCCCUCAAACCUUGUUACAAUGUUGGUACAUUGCCUGUUUGAUG
rnacentral:snoRNA from 1 species